GCGGGAGGUGGCGUCAGAUAGACGCACCUCGGCUCCUCUAUAAAAGGGCCAGAGUCACCCCCUCCUCUCGAUUGGAUUCCUCUCUGUCCGUCUCUGCUCUCCUGGUCCGGAAACCGGUAUCCAGUCGGUGUGCGAAAAAGGCGGGCUAGGGUUUGAGAUCGAGUGGAGAAAUUGGAAAAGGGGGACAGAGAUUGAAGCGUCGGGGUAAUAGAUCUAAUACAACUCCUUUAUUGCAAGGAAUGCCCUCUGAAGGUAUGUUGAUAUCCCAAUUUGAAGUAGCGUAACAGAACUUCAGAUUUUCCGAGAAACCGGUAUCCAGUCGGUGUACGAAAAGAGGCGGGCUAGGGUUCGAAAUUGGAAAAGGGAGACAGAGAUUGAAGCGUCAGGGUAAUAGGUUUAAUACAACUUAUUUAUUGCAAGAAACAGCCUCUUAAGGUAUGUUGAUGCCCCAAUUUAAAGUAGCGUAACAGAACUUCAGAUUUUCCGAGGUUUGUUUUUGUGCGAGCAAACAUUUGUGGUUUUGUAAAAGGUUGUUGUUUAUGAUGAGCAAGACAUGGGAGCCUAAUUGCGAUGUUGGUCACUCUUUCUUGCGGCAGAUGUUUAUUAGGGUUUCAAUGUACAGGUGAGAGACACGGGCCAUCAGUUCUGUCUUGCAUGUGAGUGUUAUGUACGCUUUUACAUUCUUCAACACUGUGUUUUCACUUUUGCUGAGUCCUAUGACGUAUUCAUCCCAGUUAAUUACUCAGGAUGGACGCUUUUGAGCGGAAUUCGUGGUACUCCUCGCAUUCCUUAAUCUCGAGGGAUUGCACCGGACUGUGUCCUGGCGACAUCAUAGUUUUCAUUCAGUCGGCGUAUAAUUUGCUCUGGUUCAACUGGUAUGCAGUAUCUAUCUUCGCGUAUACCUCUUGGUGCUGGAUUCAGAUAAUAUGGUAUACCUAUUUACUCGCAUGCUUUUCUUUUUUAACAGUUCAUCGUUGCUUUACAUCUUUUAUUGUCCUGUUGUCGCUGAAGGUCACGAUUCUUGGCUUUUCUAACACUUUUAUUCCCGCAAGUGAAAGGUGUUUUAAGGAUGCAUGAAAGAGUUGCCUCAUACGGGGGUGUUUAUUUUGUGGGAACAGUUGUCCCCCGAAAUCUUAAUUCUGUUUGGUUACGCAGUCCCUGCAAAGUCAUUCCAUCCAGAGGGUGCAAGAAAACAUGGUUCUCACGCUGGAAAGUAAUCAUGGUCCAAUGAUAAAAGUUCUCGUGUUUUUGGUUUUUAGAAUAAAAAAAAGGCAUAAACUAAAUUGUUCAUCAACAUGUUCCUCGAUCACUUGGUAGCGGGUAAACAGCGUGAAUAUUAUGUUGCUGACUUUUCUCUGCUGCCGGGACUAUAUCCUGGCAAUAUCACAGUUUUCAGUCAGUCAGCGUAUAAUUUGCCGGUUCAAGAGGUAUGCGAUGUCUAUCUUGGUGUAUACCUCUUUGUGCUGGAUUCAAAUAAUAUGGUAUACCUAUUUGCUGAUACUUUUCUUUUUUGUCGCAUUUGAGCAAUCAUUUGCACGAGGCAGCAGACCACAUGUUGAAAUAUUGCGGGUUUGUAGAAAUUGAUGGUUCGCGUUAGCUUUGCCAACAAAGUUUUGGUGCUAAAAUGUUUCUAGCUGAAGGUCACGAUUUUGGGCUUUUCUAACACUUUUUAUUCAAGCAAGAGAAGGGUGUUUUAAGGAUGCAUGGAAGAGUUGCCCCACACAGGGGUGUUUAUUUUGUGGGAACCACGUCCCCGAAAUCUUAAUUCUGCUCGGUUACAUCGUCCCUGCAAGGUCAUUCCGUCCGGAGGGUGCAAGUAAACAUAGUUCUCACUCUGGAAAGUAAUCGUGGUCCCAUAGUAAAGUUCUCUUGUUUUUGGUUUUCAGACCAAAAAAAAAAAAAAAGGGUGCCUCGCAUGUCCAUAAACUAAAUUGUUCUGGAUGCAUCAACAUGUUCCUCGAUUGCCUGGUAGCAGGGACCACAUUCUGACAAGAUUAUAAUCCUCGUUCGGUAAGGGUAUGGAUUGCUGGUUCAAGAGGUAUGGAAUAUCUAUUUUGCACUCGUAUCUCUUGGUGCUGGAUUCAAAUAUUUUUCUUUUGAAAUAAAAAGUUACAUAUGCGCGUAUUAAUACUGUUUGCCAAGGGGUUACUGUGCAUUUACAAAAUUUUUGCAAGUCUGCUAGACUGAAAUAAUGUAACGUAGACAAAUUGGUUGUAUUUGAGCAAUCAUUCGUUAGAGGCAGCAAGCCACAUCUCGAAAUAUGGCAAAGUUUUUAGAAAUCGAUGCUGCGCGUCUACUUUACCAGCAAGUUCCUAUGUUGGUUUUCAGGUAAUUCUCUUUUGUUUCACUCCCUAUUAAUCAUCUUUAAGAUCAGAGAAUGGAAGUCCUCGGCUUCCUUGUCCCCCACAUCUUUUAGUCUCCUCUUAAAGCUGAAGGUCAUUAUUUUUGGCCUGUCCCAACACUUUUGUCGUAGUUAAGAGAAAGGUUUCAAGGAUGCAUGAGAUGCUUGCCCCGUACAGGGGUGUCCGUCGUGUGGGAACCAUGCUCCCAUAAUCUUGAUUCUGUCUGGUUCAUAGUCCCUGCAAAGUCAUUCCAUCCAGAGUGCAUGAAGAAACAUAGUUCCCACGCUGGAAAGUAAUCUUGGUCCAAUAAUAGUGUUCUCUAGUCGUUUGGUCUUGAGACUAAAGAGAAUGUGCCUGGAUCUUCUGACUGCAAGUAAAUAUUUUUGGGUGUUGUUUUAAGUUUUUUGCUUCUUUUGUUAAAAAAUACUUUUUUACGGUGUUGCGGUCUUGAAAGUAAGGGAGCCUCAAAUUUUUACUUAUAAACUGCAAGCAUGUUUUAGAAUUUUUGUUUUAUUUAUUUAUUUAUUUAAAAUAAACGCGCUUGAUGAACAAGAAAGUGUUUCUUUCUUGAGAAAAUGUAAAUCUGGUCUGGUCCCUCGGGUAGCACCAACUGUGAGAGAAUGUGUCUUGAACAUUUGAUUCCCUAGUAAAUAUGUUCAUGUUUGUCGCUUCGGAAGUGAAAGCUAUCAUGAUGGGCACCCUCUCUCCCUUAGACGUUGCGAUGGAUUUCCUAGUAUGUGAUAGCCAUGGACAAAAGAUAUGUGUGCUCGGUUAUGGGGACUGUCAGAUUUAGUUUAUUCGAGAAAGGUUGUUGAUAUGUGUUUUGAAGCUUGACUUACGAAAUAUAGUUGGGGGAGGAUCAAAAUUGGCCGGGUCUCUUGAGUAGAAAACAUUAUUUAUGCGGCCCUUGCAUUCAUAAUGAAUGUUGUAUUUGAGAUUCUCGGCCCAAAACGUAAGAGGUUCAAUUCCAUAUUAAAUACCUUUCAAAGCCAAUAUUUCAUUUGGAAAGUUAAAGGUUGUUGAUAUGUGUUUUGAAGCUUGACUUACGAAAUAUAGCUGGGGGAGGAUCAAAACUGGCCGGGUCUCUUGAGUAUAAAACAUUAUUUAUGCGUCCCUUGCAUUCAUAAUGAAUGUUGUAUUUGAGAUUCUGGGUCCAAAACGUAAGAGCUUCAAUUCCAUAUUAAAUACCUUUCAGUCCCAAAAUGCUAGGAAAGCCAAUAUUUCAUUUUGAACGUUAAAGGUUGUUGAUAUGUGUUUUGAAGCUUGACUUACGAAAUAUAGUUGGGGGAGGAUCAAAGCUGGCCGGGUCUCUUGAGUAGAAAACAUUAUUUAUGCGUCCCUUGCAUUCAUAAUGAAUGUUGUAUUUGAGAUUCUCGGUCCAAAACGUAAGAGCUUCAAUUCCAUAUUAAAUACCUUUCAGUCCCAAAAUGCUAGGAAAGUCAAUAUUUCAUGUUGAAAGUUAAAGGUUGUUGAUAUGUGUUUUGAAGCUUGACUUACGAAAUAUAGUUGGGGGAGGAUCAAAAUUGGCCGGGUCUCUUGAUUUUUCUGCGGCCCCCCCUGCAUUCGUAAUGAAUGUUGUGUUUGAGAUUCUCGGUCCAAAAUGUAAGAGCUUCAAUUCCAUAUUAACUACUUUUCAGUCCCAAAAUACUCGCAAAGCCAAUAUUUCAUUUUGAAAGUUAAAGGUUGUUGAUAUGUGUUUUGAAGCUUGAUUUAUGAAAUAUAGUUGGUGAAGGAUCAAAUUUGGCCGGGUCUCUUGAGUAGAAAACAUCAUUUCUGCGGCCCCUGCAUUCGUAAUGAAUGUUUUAUUUGAGAUUCUCGGUCCAAAAUGUAAGAGCUUCAAUUCCAUAUUAACUAACUCUUACCUUUCAGUCCCAAAAUACUAGGAAAACCAAUAUUUCAUUUUGGAAGUUAAAGAUUUCAAAACAAACUUACGUGCCUCGGUGCAUAAGAAUGCGAAUCUUGAUUUUUGGUGGCAAAAUGCAACUGCUUGCAUCCCUCAAGUCGUGCUACCUCAAAAAUAUGUGGCUUAAAAUCUGGAUCCAAAGUUUUGGUGUGUCGGUUUGAAAGUAAAAGUUUCUUUGAUGACACACUGUUUGUUUUGGACAGUUGGGCGACCCUUCAUGCUUAGCUAUGGCAAUAUGCUUUCCCAACCUAUUCUUAGCAUGGACAGAAAAGUUUGAUGCUAGGGUUAGGGGAAUUGUCAUUGUAUGUGAGGAGGGUUGCCGUUCUUCGUUUUGAAGCCACAUCGAUAAUCUAGAUGCAGCGUUUUAACUAAUUCUUUUAAAAUAGACGUGCCUCGGUAUUUAAGCCAAAGUUUUUCUGUUUUAUGGGGAAAAGUAAAAUUCCUCCGUUCUCUCGGUUGGUUGGAACGUGAAAAGAAAUAUGCCGGGAUCUUUUGAUUGCAAGUAAAUAUAUAUAUAUAUAUAUUUUUAUAUGUGGUUUUAAAGCUUUUUGGCUUUUGUUAAAACAUGUUUUUUUUUUUUUUUUAAAUAGAAAAAAAUUGUUGUCUUAUAGCUUCCUGUUUUGGAAGUGUCCUGGUUUGGGAAGUAGAGGAGACUCGAUUCAUUAUCUAAAACCUAAAAACUGUUUUUAUGUGUUAUUUAUAGAUAAAUGUGACUUGAUGCACAAGAAAAUGAAUUUCGAUUUCUUGGGGCAAUGUAAAUCUGCUUCGGUCCCUUGUGUAGUUCCAUUUUUUAGAAAAGCUUGCAUAGAGACAGAUUCAAGGAGAUUGUGACGACACCACUUCAGAUGCGGUAAUUUGCUUUCCUUGUAUAUGAUAGCCAUGGAUAGAAAAGUUGUAUGCCCGAUUGCGGGAAGUGUCAUAUUUAGUUUACAUAAGAUAGAGGAGAUAUGUUUUGAAGGUCUGAAACUCGUGAUCUUUUGCUACGAAAAUAUAUAAUUCUAAGUCCCGUAUUCAGAAAGUAAAAGGCCUCAGUUAAUCUUUUUGAAAGAGAGGGUGUCCAUUUAUUUUUCGAAAAUAAUUUUUUUUUUUGCUGGUCCCUGAGCAAACGUUCCUCAGUUUUUUGGGGCAAUGUGAGAUUUAGCUGGUCCCUUGGAUAAAGUUUCUUGAUCUUUUGCUUUAAAAAUAAAUCUACAGGUGUCCCGGCUGGAAAAGUAAGCGGAGCUCAAGUAGUUUUUUAGAAACUGAAAGCGUGUUCUAUCGAUUAUUUAAAAGAUAAAUGUGCCUUGGUGCAAAAGAAAAUGACUUUGGAUUUGCUGCAGCAGAGUAAAACUUUUUUGAUGCCUUGGGUUUUCGGAACUCUAAAAGUUGUGGUUUGGACUUUUGAUUCAAAGCAAGUAUUUUUCAGAAUAUGUUGGUUUAAAGAAAAAGUUACUGUGAUGACACCCCUUCUUUUGGAGAGUUGGCAACCUUUCUCUUUAUAUAACUGCCAGUGUCCGUUCUCAAUCAUUCAUUGCUGCGGACGAAAGACAUAGAUGCUCUUAUUUGAGAAAGGUCUUUGUUCUUGAUUUUGAAGCCAAUUUAAUGGACUUCAGUAAAAGUGGCUGAAUUAAUUGUUUCGCAAAUGAGAGUGCUUUGGUUUAUUAUUGUUUCAAAAUAAAUGUACUUUGACGUCCAGGCAAUGGAUUUUCAAUUUCUUGGGAGAGAGAGUAAAAUUCGCCCCAUCGCCCGGCUUGUUGGAACUCAAAAACAGUAUGCGUGGACGUUAUUUGUUCGCGAGUUAAUAUUUUUGGUAUGCUGUUUGUUUGUUGCUUUUGUUUAACAAUAAUUGCUUACGGUUGUCCCGUAUGGAACGUGUCCAGGCUUGGAAUGCAAGAGAGCCUCAAUUUAUUAUUUUGGAGCGUAAAAGUGUGUUGUUUCAAUUGCCUGAAACAAAUUACCUCGAUGGAUAAGAAUUUUUUUUUUUUUUUUUUUUGUUUCUUUGUUGGGGCAAUUGAAAUCUUCUCCGGUCCAGUUCUAGUUGUAGAAAACGUGCGUUGAGCUUUUGACUCAACGAAAACACGUUUCUGUAUGUGGGUUUGAAAGUAGGAUCCAAUUUGAUGGCAUGAUUCCUCUUAAGAGGUUUGAGAAUCUGCAAGUAAAAGCUAUCAUGUGCGCGCUAUUGCUCUUAGAGAUUUGGAUAUUCGUCCUCCUAAUCUUUUAGGGCCCCGGGCUAAAGAUGUGUGGGUUUGGUUAUGGUAUCUCACAGUUUAUUUGAGGACUUUUGCUGUUUGUUUCUUUCAUAUCUUAUCACACAAACUACAGACUUGUAUGCUUAGUGUUGUGUUACUUUUACAAGAAAGAUUGUUCUGUUUAUCUCCAUUUCACCCUACAUAUUAAGACUUGGUGGAAAAUGAUGUCAUUUUGAUUUCUUAGGCCCAAAGUACUUGCAGCUUACGUUUGUGUCUCUACUUGGGUGUGCCAUUAUCUUUCUUCUUGGUUCGCUGGUAGGUUAUACGAAAAAAUUUUAAUUCUUGAAAUUGGUGAGCUACCGUACAUGUCCGGGUUACAACGAAUGCCGCCGUUAAGUUACCAAUAUUUGUAACCUACAACUUUGCACCAAACUUCAGCAGUGUCAGUUGAUCUCUUAGACUUUUGUACGUUUACUUUUUCAAGUUUUUCGUUUAAAAUCUUUAUCUAGCGGCAAUUCAAGGAUUAAUAUAGAGAGUGGAAUAUUUUACUUCAAAUACUUGGAGAGUAACUAUAUGCUGUAUUUGUCUUGGUUCUAAUCACUGUAGUAACGCAGGUCAUCUUCAUAAAUUUAGCGAGAAAACUAUUUGAAAGAACUAAACCUUCGAAGUAUAUCUAAGUAAAACUUCAUCUUGUAACAUCUUUUUUCUUUCUCCUUUUUGUGUAAGCAGUAUCUGUGGUUAAAAGGGAUUGAUACGCUUUAAUAUGCAGGACAACUACGAAGCUUGGCAUAACGGCGACAAUAUUAUGUUGCUGACUUUUCUUUGCUGUAGGUAUUUACUGGAGACUCGUUUGAGUUGAAAAAAUGGAGUUUCUUCCAGCUGCUAUCUACACAAACAACGUGUGCUGCGCGGAGUGCGAGUAUUUUAGAAUUAGAUAAUACUUCAAAUAAUCUUUAAGAUAUCAUGAUGGAAGUCCUCAGCUUCCCUGUCCCCCACGUGUUUUGGUCUCCCCUUAAAGCUGAAGGUCAUUACUUUUGGCCUGUCCAUGCUGUCGCUGUGGUUAUGAGAGAAAGGUUUCGAGGAUGCAUGAGAUGCUUGCCCCGUACAGGGGCGUCCGUGGUGUGGGAACCAAGCUCCCAUAAUCUUGAUCCCGUCUGGUUCAUAGUCCCUGCAAGGUCAUGCCAUCCAAAGUGCACAAAAGAAACAUAGUUCCCACGUUGGAAACUAAUGAUAGUGUUCGGCACCAUAUUCUGACAAUAAUAAAAUCCUCGUUCGGCAAGGGUAUGGAUUGCUGGCUCAGUGGGUAUGCAGUAUCUAUUUACACUCUGUGUCUCUUGGUGCUGGAUUCAAAUAUUUUUCUCUUGGAGUAAAAAGGUACAUGUGUGUAUUAAUAUUGGUUCCAAGGGGGUACUGCGCAAUUGCAAAAUUUUUUUACAGGUCUGCAAGAUUCAAAUAAUGGGAGGAGUAGUGCAAUUUGGCGUGCGGCCAAAACGUUGGCUUGGCAAGGGCUCAGUUUGAAAGGUGAGAAAAUGAGCAGAAAGGAUAAUUUAGUAAAUUUUCUCACUGAACUGUUUCUACUUAAUAGAUUUGUACUCUCGGCCAAGGAAGAAGUGCCAAAUCACUUCAUAACAUUAAUAUGUUACUUUUUAUUUUUAAUUCUAAAAAAUAGAAAAAGAUACCAUGUGAUAUUUUUCAGUAUUUAUAUGCAUACAUAUUUCAUUA